rnacentral:rRNA from 1 species
AAAUUGAAGAGUUUGAUCAUGGCUCAGAUUGAACGCUGGCGGCAGGCCUAACACAUGCAAGUCGAACGGUAACAGGAAGAAGCUUGCUUCU